AGAGUUUGAUCAUGGCUCAGGAUGAACGCUAGCGGCAGGCCUAACACAUGCAAGUCGAGGGGUAUUAGGAGCUUGCUCCUAAGAGACCGGCGCACGGGUGCGUAACGCGUAUGCAAUCUACCUUGUACAGGGGAAUAGCCCAGAGAAAUUUGGAUUAAUGCCCCAUAGUAUAAUUGAAUCGCAUGGUUUAAUUAUUAAAGUUCCAACGGUACAAGAUGAGCAUGCGUCCCAUUAGUUAGUUGGUAAGGUAACGGCUUACCAAGACAAUGAUGGGUAGGGGUCCUGAGAGGGAGAUCCCCCACACUGGUACUGAGACACGGACCAGACUCCUACGGGAGGCAGCAGUGAGGAAUAUUGGUCAAUGGGCGCAAGCCUGAACCAGCCAUGCCGCGUGCAGGAAGACGGUCCUAUGGAUUGUAAACUGCUUUUAUACAGGAAGAAACCCUACCACGUGUGGUAGAUUGACGGUACUGUAGGAAUAAGGAUCGGCUAACUCCGUGCCAGCAGCCGCGGUAAUACGGAGGAUCCAAGCGUUAUCCGGAAUCAUUGGGUUUAAAGGGUCCGUAGGCGGUCUUAUAAGUCAGUGGUGAAAUCCCAUCGCUCAACGAUGGAACUGCCAUUGAUACUGUAAGACUUGAAUGCUUAGGAAGUAACUAGAAUAUGUAGUGUAGCGGUGAAAUGCUUAGAUAUUACAUGGAAUACCAAUUGCGAAGGCAGGUUACUACUAAGUGAUUGACGCUGAUGGACGAAAGCGUGGGGAGCGAACAGGAUUAGAUACCCUGGUAGUCCACGCCGUAAACGAUGGAUACUAGCUGUUCGGAGCAAU
rnacentral:rRNA from 1 species